CUCUUAGAUGUCCGGGGCUGCACGCGCGCUACACUGGAGAAAUCAGCAUGCCUUCAUACCUGGCCCGAAAGGGUCGGGUAACCCGCUGAAACUUCUCCGUGAUUGGGAUAGGGAAUUGCAAUUAUUUCCCUUGAACGAGGAAUUCCUAGUAAGCACGGGUCAUAAGCUCGUACUGAUUACGUCCCUGCCCUUUGUACACACCGCCCGUCGCUACUACCGAUUGAAUGGUCCGGUGAAUCUUUAGGACUGUGGCUGAGGCCUUGCCUUGUGCGGGUCUGGCCGUGGGAAUUUAGUUAAACCUUACCAUUUAGAGGAAGGUGAANUCGUANCA
rnacentral:rRNA from 1 species